ensembl:lncRNA
UCCUGCUCCACCAAAAUCUCUGGUCACAAGCAGCUGCAGAAUAAAUAUUUUACAGCAUGUUAAUUCUCUGGGACUGUAAUGUCACUGUGCUGAAUCACUCAAUGAAACAGCUACAAAGAAGAAAAGAACGAGAAUAAAAGCACGGCUUUGUUACUGCCUGCUUGUGGACAUUUCACAAAUCCGGAGAGAUCAUAUGCUCAAAACACCAAUCCUGAGUGUCACACUGUGUGAGUUCAAAGCACAAGACAGCGUAUAGAAAAUGAGGACAAGCCCACUCAGUGCUUUGUAACAUCUUCACCACUCAGGACACACCCACUCAGUGCUUUGUUACAUCUUCACUGCUCAGGACACACCCACUCAGCACUCAGUUUCACCCUUACCGCUCAGGACAUGCCCACUCAGCACUCAGUUUCACCAUUACCGAUUAGGAUAUGACCACUGGAUGCUUUGUUACAUCUUCACUGCUCAGGACACACCCACUCAGCACUCCCUCAGUUUCUCCCUCAGAGCUUUGAAGCAAAAUGUGAGGCAGUGAAAGCGGCCCUUCCCAGGCUUAACCCGCACAUUCAGACCUUUAUUUACAUACAAAGGAGAACAAAAUCCUUUAAAGUGAUAACAGGUGAAUCAUGACUGUACACAAAUGAUGUUUAUUUGGCUAUUUUAGGACAAAAAUGGUUUUAAAAAAAUCAAUUUAGUGUUCAGUAUUAACACCAGUUUUUACACAAUGUAGGUAAUUUAACUACUUAAAGAACAGAUUAAAUUGCAGUGGUUAUUAUAAUACAAACUAAUACUAAACCGGAUCACCUAAAACCAAAGUUCAAAUAAUGAGGAUCAAUUUAACCAGAUUACCUAACCCUGAUUAACAACAACUGACUAAUUAAGCUAAACCAGAUGAACUAAAAAUCCUGAUGUUGUGAAGACACUUGGCUAAAAUGUUCAAUGUUAAUGCUCAUUAAUGUGAUUAAGAUUAGCCUCAGGAGCAUCUCUACACCUUUCUUCUCAUUAAAUACUGUCACCUGAGCGGAUAAAGAUGUGGAACAGCCCAUGAACUUUUGACUAAAGGGUGUUCUUGAGGGGGUCUGAACUCCUGAAUUAACACAUUAACCCUCCCUGUACUCCACCGAUCACUAAUAGGAGAUUAAAGACAAAGGUUGGAUAUGUUCUUAAAACACACACACAAAAUAACUUUCAUUGCCAAUACCAAAAUAUAAUUUUGCUACCCAAUCCCCCCUAUAAUGGACCACACCAUUUCUUUAUUAUUGACUUACACAUGCUUUAACCAGAAAUGUGAUAAAAAAAAUAAAUAAAAAAAUAAUAAUAAUAAAAAUUUUUUUUUAAAAAUGAUGAUGAAAAACUAAGGAGAGCAGUGAAGACCUAAUAAAGUGUCUAAUACACACUCUGGUUAGAGGAAGUCAAAAAGCUGUAUUGGAAAGACAAAGACACAGCCAGACAGAAGUGUAAUUUGCAUUCAGCUAUAAAUGGGAUGAACAGUGAGUUAUUUUGCACUUCUCACUGAGCCUGUUGGAGUACAGUCUGUACUGAACAUCUACAGAGUUAUAAAUGUUCAUAACACCUCAAACAUUUAGCGAUCAAUAAAAGUGUACAUAGUUACACAAGCAGC